rnacentral:rRNA from 1 species
UACAUGGGGUGCAAACGUUGCUCGGAAUUAUUGGGCGUAAAGCGCGCGUAGGCGGUUAUCUAAGUCGGAUGUGAAAGCCCUCGGCUUAACUGAGGAAGUGCACCCGAAACUGAGUAGCUAGAGUACUAAAGAGGGUCGCGGAAUUCCCGGUGUAGAGGUGAAAUUCGUAGAUAUCGGGAGGAACAACGGUGGCGAAGGCGGCGACCUGGGUAGAUACUGACGCUGAGGCGCGAAAGCGUGGGGAGCAAACAGG